CUCCCAGUCUUCUAGCCUGUGUUCUUGUUUUUCUCUGCUCAGCUUGUAUUGUCAUUGCGAUGUACACAAGCAGCUUUGAGUCUGUUGUUUGCAUAAUCUCCCAUGGCACCUUCCUCACAGUCCUUAGUCUUAUCUUCACAGCAGAACUAUGCCAUCCAGUUUUUCUGUUAGUCUCAGGGUACCAAAGAGGGCUGCUCAGAACUAUUCAGCUGAUACUGUUCAAAAAUUGCUGUUUGACUUCAGUUGCUUGACAGUUAACCCCCACUGCCUGUUGAUUUAUUACCCUGUAACAUGUUUUUCAAAUCUCUACAAAUAUUAGUUGUUGGAAACUUGUAUUCUUUUUCUUCAACUUCCACGGAUGGAGUUUAUGUUCUCUUUAAGGAGCACAUAUUGAAAUGAACUCUUCCAGUUUCUCCAACACUUGUAUGCUUCUCCCUACAAGAGAAGAACGUAUUAACUGAUUGGAGAGAUUGCUGGGAGCAUGGCAUCCACAAAAAGCAACAAAGUGUAUAGUGGUUAACUAUCCAGCUCAGGAGAGACAGCAUACUAAAUUUGUAAUCCCAGGUCUGUCACUUAGCCUUUCCAAGUCCCACUUUUCCCAUCUGUGAAAUGCUAUGAUUAUCAUACCUGCCUCAUAGAGUUGUAAUGAGGAUAUUGCUCAGCAUAAAGUAGCCACUCAGAAAUGCUUGACUGGCUGCAUUAAGAGUGGAUGGGGUUACCCCUAGUGACCUGGCCACCCCAUGGGGUGGUUCUCAGUCUAUGCUGCUUAUUGGAAUUGCCUAGAGAACUUCAGAAAAUACUUGUGCGCUAGAGAUUCUGAUUCAGUCGGUCUGGGGUGUAGCUAGGUCACUGAUAUUUUUAAACCUUUCCAAGUGAUUCCAGUGAGUAGCUAUGUUUGAAAACUGUUUGAAAGCUACAUUUGAAAGCAAGAAAUAGGAUUCUCUCUUCUUGGCAGAUUGUUACAAAGAGACAGUGGGCUCUGUAGAGUAAACAGACCUGGCAUGCUGCCUGCCUUCUAGAAGCUAUUUCUUUCCCGUGCUUUCAGGCACUCUCUUCUGCUGACAUCUGGCUCUUUGAGAUGGGCCCCAAUCCAUCACACCACUGCUGGCUGGAGAUGUACCAAGAGUCUACCUGCAGCCCAGGAUACUCCAGUGGUUGGUCGUAAGGUUCAGAUUUGGCCGGAGGUCUGCACCAGUGUGGGAUUUUUUGGUCUUUCAAUGAUUUUGUGCUCUGAAGUUCUUGAAUGUGGAAAACAGGAAAGUCCAAGUUUGAAAGUGACUCUGUUUAAACUCCAUGGAUCUGUUCUUCCCAUACCUCAGUAAAAUCUCGGGUAGGUCUUGGGGUUACUUAAUAAUUAAGAAAGUAGUUCUUUCUGACAGCAGCAUGAAAGAGUUCAGUCCUGUCUGAUAAUCACAUUUCAGGCCAGUUAGUGAAAUAUUAAAACUAAAACACCAUUCAAAGUUAAAACUCCAUUCUCCCUUGGCUUAGUUUUGCCUCUGGCUGGGAGGUCUGAGACUUGAGCAGCUGCUUCUCUCUGUCCUCUGUCACUUUUUCCUGAGACAGUGACUCCGCUGUGGUUAACACCUGGGAAGAGUGGAUUAGGAACACGUACGGUUUGUGUGGCUGUACCAGUUGACCUCUGACCUGGGGCUGCAGAGGCCCAUGCAUGUUGCUGCUUUCUCUCCUAGGGGCCACUUUGGGGAGUUUCUCAGAGACCCCCUGCUCUGCAGACUUUCAGACUGCAGUUCCUUUAGCAUGAGAAGUCAGUGUCUCUCCUUCAGCUGUCGGUUCACCCCUCCCCCCUCAGUGUCCGGGGUGCUGGCCGGCUGGCUCAUCUCCGUUGGGGUCCUAGCGCUCUCGGGUUGUUCAGGAGUUCUCAUUUACUAGGAUCCCAGGUCAGCUCCUUCUGGGGGGAGGACAUCUAGUCCCCAGGAAACAAGAAGCGCUAAUGAAUAAAUACCUGGAUGGUGGGAAUGCAGGUCUCUCCCAACUCAAACUGGGGUCUCGUUGCUUUGCUGCAUCAGUCCCAUCCAGCCAAGCCCUUACAGCUUUUAGCUUUUCAAGGGGGAGUCAGAUAUUCUUCCCUAGGUUUCUCGAGCUCCAGUGGGCAUGUGCCCAGCUCCCUGAGUAAAGCCCCUCUCAAGUGACUAAGCCCAGUGAGGGGGGCAAGCCCCUCCCACCACAAUGGGUGGGACUUGGGGAAGCCCAGAGCCUUCAGCUUGUCUCUCCAGAGAUGUCUGCCUUCUAUUUCUCCAAACUCUCAUGAAUCCCCAAGGCUCUCAUAAAUCUUUGAGGGGAGUUAUGAGCUAAAAGUCACAAGAUCUGUUUUUAGACCACCCCCUGCAAAUCCUGCCCAGGCGUCCAACAUCUCAGUUUAUUUUUAUUUUUUAUUUUUUUUAU